rnacentral:rRNA from 1 species
GACGAACGCUGGCGGCGUGCUUAACACAUGCAAGUCGAACGGUAAGGCCCUUCGGGGUACACGAGUGGCGAACGGGUGAGUAACACGUGGGUGAUCUGCCCUGCACUUUGGGAUAAGCCUGGGAAACUGGGUCUAAUACCGGAUAGGACCAGGCGCUUCACGGUGUGUGGUGGAAAGCUUUUGCGGUGUGGGAUGGGCCCGCGGCCUGUCAGCUUGUUGGAGGGGGAAUGGCCUACCAAGGCGCCGACGGGUAGCCGGCCUGAGAGGGUGACCGGCCACACUGGGACUGAGAUACGGCCCAGACGCCUACGGGAGGCAGCAGUGGGGAAUAUUGCACAAUGGGCGCAAGCCUGAUGCAGCGACGCCGCGUGAGGGAUGACGGCCUUCGGGUUGUAAACCUCUUUCAGUAGGGACGAAGCGCAAGUGACGGUACCUACAGAAGAAGGACCGGCCAACUACGUGCCAGCCGCCGCAGUAA